rnacentral:rRNA from 1 species
GAUGAACGCUAGCGACAGGCCUAACACAUGCAAGUCGAGGGGCAGCGGGGUAGCAAUACCGCCGGCGACCGGCGCACGGGUGAGUAACACGUAUGCAAUCUACCAUUUACCCGGGGAUAAUCCGGCGAAAGUCGGUCUAAUACCCGAUAACAUAACCAUUUCGCAUGAAACGGUUCUUAAAGAAUUUCGGUAAAUGAUGAGCAUGCACAACAUUAGCUAGUUGGUAAAGUAACGGUUUACCAAGGCAACGAUGUUUAGGGGUUCUGAGAGGAAGGUCCCCCACACUGGUACUGAGACACGGACCAGACUCCUACGGGAGGCAGCAGUGAGGAAUAUUGGUCAAUGGACGCAAGUCUGAACCAGCCAAGUCGCGUGAAGGAAGAAUGUCCUAUGGAUUGUAAACUUCUUUUGUAGGAGAAUAAAGUACAUCACGUGUGAUGUUUUGUAUGUACCCUACGAAUAAGGAUCGGCUAACUCCGUGCCAGCCGCCGCAGUAAAAC